UACAUUUUUUUUUAUUAUUAGUUCUGGUAUGUGUGUUUGCCUGAGAGAAAACAUGCAAUAUACAUUCACUGGCCGCUUUAUUAGGUACACCCGUUCAGUUGCCUGUUAUCGGCCGAUCACUUGGCAGCAACUCAAUGCAUUUAGGCAUAUAGACAUUGUGAAGAUGACCUGCUGAAGUUCAAAGCAAGCAUCGGAAUGUGGGAGAAAGACGAUUUAGAUGGCACUUUUGGAUUAUGAAACUCUGUGUUGGUGUAGGCGUCUUUAACCUGACAUUUGAUGAAUUCAUGGAAUAGUAUUGUAUCUGUAAUGCUGCGAGUGCUCCUGAAAAUGUACAGCUCAGAAGUCAGAGAGAGAGCGGUGUGCUACUGCUUCUGUGAGCAAUGUACCAAGAAUUGUACCACACCAAGAAAACCUUCCAUGUGUUUCCUUACAGGAUGCCAUCAAUACUACGGAUUGUAUGGAAAGAAGUCCUCAUAACAUGGUGUGGCAUUUAUCAUAACAGAUAGAAUGGAUAUCUUGAUACCAACCAUUCCACCUUUAAGAGGAACCACUUGACUGAGACGGCUCAACUGACUGUGGGCAACCAGCUACGAUUUGUUAGAGCAACAAACACAUCAUCGGUCCUGAUCCUUCUAAAUCUCUCAUCCACCUUCAACAUGGUCCACCAGGAACUCCUUCUUACCACCCUCUCUGACCAUGGGUACCACUGGGACUGCUAUAAAAUGGUUUGAGUCUUGGGAAGAUUCUACAGUGUGUCCUGGCAAGGAGAGUUGUCAAGGGUGCACCAGACAUGGACAAGGAUGCCCCAAGAAUGGUGCUGGGUCCUCCUCCUUUUUCUCUGUUUACCACCUUGCUGGGCUCUGUCAUCAAUCCCAUGGUUUCUCUUAUCAGUGCUAUACACAGUUGUACCUGUCGUUAUCUCCUGCGGAUAACACAUUAUAUAUCUCUACCUGGAUGAAGGACCACCAUCUACAGCUCAGCCUGGCAAAAAAUGAGAUUCUUGUGAUUGUGGCCAGCCAGUCUAUUCAGCUCACUACCUCUGUACAAAUUGGCUCAUUAUCACUAACCCCUGCCACAUGAGUAUGCAACCUUGGGGUGGUGAUUGAUGAGCAGCUAUCUCUUUCUGACCACAUUUCUACUGUUUCUCAUUAAUGCAGAUUCAUGCUCUAAAACAUCCGCAAGAUCAGACCUUAUCUAAUGGAAUAUGCAGCACAACUUCAGGUGCAGGCUUUGGUCUUGUUAUGUCUGGAUUACUGUAUCUCACUUCUGGCAGGAGCACCCACAUGUGCUAUCAAACCACUGCAGAUGGUCCAGAAUACAGCAGCCUACUUUGUAUUUAACCAGCUGAGAUGGGCACAUUUCACUCCUCUCUUCAAGUCACUACAUUGGCUCCAUGUAGCAGCAUGCAUUAAGUUCAAAUCCCUGAUGUUUGCCGACAGCACAUGCAAAUAUGGAGACACAGGUGAGGUGCUAUGCCCCUUCUCACCUACUCAGAUCUGCCAGGGAAGACAGUCUGAUGAUGCAGAGUCUGAUGAUGCUACAUGGUAUCAAGUCUCAAUCCAGACUCUUUUCCUGUGUAGUUCCUACUUAGUAGAACGAGUUGCCCAUCUCCAUUUGAACUGCUGACUUCCUCAAUGUACUUAAGAAGCAAUUGAAAACCCAUCUGUUCUGUGAAUAUCUGUCGAAUUGAUCUUUCAUAUUGUUGGUUGAUUUGUUGUUACAUUAAGUUAAAUUGCUUUAUUAGUCUAUGACUGAAAUUGUAUUAGUUACUACAUCUUUUUACUUGUGCCAAUCAAGUUUUGUUACCAGUCCUACUAUACUUGUUGAACAAACAGGCCCUAGUCUAAUAUUACUCGAUUAUGUUUACCUCUUUAGUAAGUCGCUUUGGAUAAAAGCAUCUGUUAAGCAAAUAAAUAUAAAAAUGUAAAUAUAAAUCUCAAUUGAUGUGGAAUGGCUUGAGAUGUUAAUGCUUUUAACAGAUAUGACAGAUUUUUCUUGAGUGACCUUAACCUCCACAUGUGGGAUAAAGUUCAGACUCUUGGAAGCCUACACAAAAUAUAGAAAGUAUGUCACUGUCUGACGAUAAACUUUGUUAUGCAUUAAACAUUGACAUUCUGCUACUUUCACCUGAAAAAAUAUCACUCAAUUUAUGCCAAAGUUUGUUUGAGAUUUUCAGAGGGAUUUCAGGACUUUCAUUGACACUGACCAAUGUUUCUUUUUUUCCAUUAACUUGCAUAUAUUUAAUAUAUUUAUUGUGGAUUUAACUGUACAUGGGCAUUGAUGUGGAUAUAACUGUUGAUAGACGUUGCCUGCUUAGAUGUACAUCUUGUCAAUGUGUACAUAGAUGGCAAUAUUUUAUUAGGUACAUACAUUAACUCACAGCUAAGGAGGAUGUGGAUGCCAUUUCAGACAUUAAGCAUGGCUUCAUAUAUGAAGGAUACUACAUAGGAAAAGCCUUCUAUAUCUGGCUCUAUAAAUUUGCGCUAGCAAAGUACUCUCCCAUACGAAGUUCAUUUUUAUUUAUAACUAGAAGUUCAGGAAAGAAAUACAGGCACAUGGAUGCUGUUAAUUGGCAGGUCUCUUUGGUUUGAAUUAUUACUUGCCCCCAUAGGUUUUGGCAAUAUGUAAAAUUCUUACGUUUCUUUAAACAUUACCGGUAAACAGGGUUAUUACCAGGUGUUGAGCAUCACAAUUUUUACCUGAAUAAGUCAACAUUGCUUUUCUGCAGUUCCUGUUCAUUUUGGAUGCAGGAAGUCAUCAUUGUUAAUAGCUGUACAUUGUAACAAAAAUACUUUGGUUAAUGUACAAAAGCACAGAUGCACAAAUGUGUGGCUAAGAAGAAACAGUCCUUGUAUAUUUGGCAGUUAUAUGGCUUCAAAGGAUAUGAGCAUGGUGAGCCAAAUUAUUUAGCUGUUAUUUGUCAACUAAGCUGGAAGGUUGUUGUUGCAAAAGACUCACAAAUGACAAACUCGCCUAAUUACUUGCACUUACACCAACCUGCAGACUAUACAAUGUUAGCUGCUAGCAGAAGCACUAAAGGCUCAUCUCACUAACCCCACGAUUAUUGGUAUCUUUGGAUUUAGAAGCCGGACAGUGUGACAUGUGUGGAGCACUUUAACUAUGCCAUUCUGUUCACAUUUAAGUCAAUAAAUGUUAAUAAAGUAUGUUUGCUUUAUG